CUAUUAAACUGAGUCUGCAUUUUCUUUCUAGUAGCUGUUAACCAGUUUCACGGACUAAAUAAAUUAUGACAGUUCCCAUACAGAUAAAAUAAAUAAAUGUCUACCUUUGUCUGAAUGUCCGCACCUAGUAUUAUUAGCAUUUGAAUAGACGAGUGCCAUAUGUCGCACGUCAUAAGGGUGUGCCUUCUCUGUUCUGUCCCUGUUUCUGGAUUUUGUUUUAGGCCAUAAGGGUUCUGAAAGUGGCCAGCAGUAUAACUGAAAGUGGGGUAGAUGGAUAGUAUAUAUAUAUUGCUGAAAGUUGUCGAUAUGUAUAGGUUGCUCAUGAUGUUUGUUAGUCUUGCCUGUUGCUUUCUCCUUUCUUGGAUGGUAUUAUUACCCUCCCUUUCUUUCUUUCUUUUCCUUUCUUGGAUGGUAUUAUUACCCCUUCUCCUUUCUUGAAUAGUAUAUGUAUACUGAUGAAAGUGCUGGGAGCGGAGUUACCAUUCCUUUGCUCUGUUUCAUCUGUUUGGUGCUUGUUUUUGCUAUUGCGGGAAUGGUUAAAGUUUUGAUCUUUUUUACAUUUCUUUGUGGAAUUUAUUGUGAUAUUGCUAUUGUUAUGGUUAGUACAUUAUUAUGUGAUCCAUUCUCUCCAUUUUGGCUAUCACUGUCAGCUUUUCAGCUGUAAAUACUUUAUUGAUACAAUAGACCCUUGUUAUUGCUGUUAUAUGAUCUAUAUGUAAGAGUUCUACUAGAAUGUGAUUGCAAAGCUGCAUGCCUGCUUUCACCAAACAAUUUUUGAGUUUAUUUUGAUUUACUCUAAGUACUGCUUUUCUAAAUGCAUAUCAGUUUUCUUUGCAAAUGAAAUCAGAAAACUGUAACUGUUUAAGGGUCAAUGCUAUAUGGCCAAUGCUAUAGUACUGCUUUUCUAAAUGCAUAUCAGUCUUCUUUUAUUCUCAUUCUAAUUUUACUGGUUUAUUAUCAGGAAAUUUUUUUUUGCCCUUCUGUUCAUUAUUUCCCUUUCAUAAAGAUUAUGUUCCUCAAUAUAUAGCAUUUCAUUUGUCUUUAGGAUUCUUAUUUUGGUCAAAGAAAGGAACUGAGCAUUCCAAGAUUUGUUUUCAUUCCAAGAUUGGGGUGUUAGUAAUUCUCAGCUUAUUCUGAUGUCAACUUGUUAUUCAUUUUAGAAAGCAUUCUGAUGUCUUAUUAAUAAAGAACUCUAAGGUCUUGUUUAUCUUAAUAUUAAAUAGAAACAUGGACAAUCCAGAGCGUGAUUGGAUGUACAAAAGGUUGGAUGGCCGAGGAGGUAUUAAUUCAAGUUUCAUAACUGGUGUGAACACGUUUCUCCAGUUUGCUUGUUCUCAGCGCAAUCGCAUGAGUGGUGACAAUGUUAGAUGUCCAUGUAAAAAAUGUCACAACAUUAAAUACAUGGAUGUUGAAACUGUUAAAUUGCAUCUUUAUCAGUAUGGAUUUGUGGAGAACUAUUUUCUUUGGAAGUAUCAAGGAGAAAAAAAUGUGACCGGUGAGAUGUCUUCUAGUGGUGAUUUGCAUGGUGGCUCUCAACCUGAAUCGGGAUAUGAGAAUCCAUAUCGACAAAUGGUCUUGGAUGCAGCUGGACCCAAUUUUGGCCAUGGUUUGAACGGGCAGCCUUAUAAUAAUACUGAACCUGAGUCGUCUCAUUCUUAUGAACCUUCAAUGGACGCGGAGCCUAAUCCUUCAAUGGAGGAGGAGCCAAAUCUUGAGUGCCAAAGGUUUUAUGAUUUGCUACAGGCCGCUGACGCAAAAUUAUACCCUGGUUCUUCCCUCUCUCAACUCGCAGUAGUUUCCAGGAUGCUAAAUAUUAAAAUGGAGAAUACUUUAUUACAAAGAGGUUAUAACCAAAUGAUGCAAUUGUUGAAAGAGGCUUUACCAGAAGAUAACACAAUGCUUGAUAACUAUUAUGAGACCAAGAAGCUAGUGCGUAGCUUGGGUUUGCCCGUUGAAAAGAUUGAUUGUUGUAAUUCUGGAUGUAUGUUGUAUUGGGGUGAAGAUGAGGACCUCACAUCUUGCAAGUUUUGUGGUCACCAGAGGUACAAACGUCGUGUCGGUUCUCGUAAGAGGAAAUUAUUCCCUUACAAAAAAAAUGUAUUAUUUUCCUUUGAUUCCUAGAUUGCGGAGAUUAUAUGCAUCUCAUGCUACAACUGCUGAUAUGAGAUGGCAUCAUGAGCACAUACAAGAGGAGGGCGUCAUGCGUCAUCCAUCAGACUCGAAGGCUUGGAAGCACUUCAACGAAACUCAUCCCUUUUUUGCUGCUGAACCAAGAAAUGUGAGGUUGGGAUUAUGUACUGAUGGUUUUCAGCCCUUUGGUCAUUCAGGGAGGAAAUACUCUUCAUGGCCAGUGAUUGUCACUCCAUACAAUUUGCCUCCAGGGAUGUGUAUGAAAGAGGCGUACAUGUUCUUAACUGUCAUUGUUCCAGGGCCAAACAACCCUAAACAAAAAAUUGAUGUUUAUCUACAACCUUUAAUAAAGGAAUUGACCUUGUUGUGGGAGACGAGUGUAGAAGCAUUUGACAUCUCAAAAAAACAAAAUUUUCAAUUAAGGGCUGCUUUGAUGUGGACAAUCAAUGACUUUCCAGCAUAUUCUAUGUUAUCUGGAUGGAGUACUGUCGGUAACUUAGCAUGUCCUUAUUGUAUGGAGGAAGCACAAUCCUUCAGAUUUUGUCAUGGUGGGAAAACAACUUGGUUUGAUAGUCAUAGAAUGUUUCUUGACCAAAAUCAUCCGUUUAGGAGAGAUCGUAAAAUAAAAACUUUCGUAAAGGUCAGACUGUCAGAAGGCUACCACCGCCCCUUAGAACAGGAGAGUAAAUCUUGAACCAAAUUUGUGAGUUGGGACUGAGAAAAGUAACUGAGCUAGAUGCAGAAGAAGUUAAUGGGAGAAUUUCUCGGUGUUGUGGAUGGAAAAAGAGAAGCAUCUUUUGGGAUUUGCCUUAUUGGAGCUCUAACAUGAUCCGCCAUAAUCUCGAUGUCAUGCAUAUUGAGAAGAACGUCUUUGAUAAUGUAUUUAACACAGUUCUUAACGUUGAUGGCAAAACAAAAGACAAUCCAAAGGCACGUGAAGAUAUGGUAAACUAUUGCGAUCGACCGCAAUUGGCAAAGAAUCCUAUUGAUGGAAGCUAUCCCAAAGCUGCAUAUACAAUAGAGAAGAAUCAAAAAAUUGCCUUGUUCAAUUGGUUGGAAAAUGUGAAGUUUCCAGAUGGGUAUGUUUCGAAUUUGAGUAGGUGCCUAGACACAGACAAGUAUAAAUUAUUUGGUAUGAAAAGACAUGAUUGCCAUGUGUUCAUGCAACGAUUAAUGCCUAUUGCCUUUCGUGAGCUACUUCCUAGUAAUGUGUGGCAAGCACUUACAGAAUUGAGCUUAUUUUUUAAGGAUCUCACCUCGACUGUUCUUCGAGUGGUGGACAUGGAGAGAUUAGAGGCAGACAUCCCACAGAUCUUGUGUAAGUUGGAGCGUAUAUUUCCUCCUGGAUUCUUUAACUCAAUGGAACAUGUGCCUGUACACCUGCCAUAUGAAGCAAGGAUUGCUGGACCUGUACAAUAUAGAUGGAUGUAUCCUUUUGAGAGGUUAUUAACUUUUUAUGCUCUUAUUAUGACAAAUAUGAUACACAUGACUUUAUGAAUUUAAUGGUCUAUCCAUUUACUUGUCGAGGGUUCAAUUUGCGAAGCAUACUUGAUGAUGGAAUCAACAAAAUUGUUUUCUCAUUAUUUUGAACCUCAUGUCAUGACACGUAAUCAUAAUGUGGCCCGUAAUUAUGAUGGUGGUGUUAUGGAAGAUCUUGAAGGAAAUUUAUCAAUAUUCACUCAUCCAGGCCGACUAUGGGGAGAAGGAAAAAAGAGAAGUUUGUCCCUCGAAGAAAUCAAGGCAGCCCAAACUUAUAUUCUACUAAAUUGUGUAGAGGUUGAGCCGUUUGUAAGGUAUCAUUUAUUAAUAAUAAUAAAUAUAUCCAUAUAUUUUGAGUACGUAUUUAACUUAUUUUGUUGCAAUGAAGUAUGUACAUACAACGGUUGCAAGAAGAAUUACCCAACCUAUCUCAGGAUCAAAUAAAUGAGAGUCUCGAAACGUGUUUUGCUAUAUGGUUCAAGGAAUAUGUUCGAUGCAACCACAUUGAGAACCAAUUCUUGUGUAGUCUUGCUCAUGGACCAUUAAUAAGCGCAAAAUGUUAUCCGGUGUAUUUUGUUAAUGGAUACAAAUUUCACACGGAAUGUCAUGGUAGUGCAAGAUCAACAAUUAAUAGUGGAGUUUGUAUCUCGGAUCCAAAUGUUGGUGACUAUUAUGGACGGAUACAAGAGAUUAUACAAUUGGAAUACCGCAAAGAACCUUUAAAGCAAACUGUGUUAUUCAAGUGUGAAUGGUUUGAUCCAACUGUGAAUGUUGGUGUCAAAGAGCAUAACCAAUACAAACUAGUCGAUGUGAACCAUCGCCGUCGUUUUAACAAGUACGAACCUUUUAUUCUUGCGAUGCAAGCAACUCAAGUGUGUUAUGUGCCUUAUCCUAGCACGAAAAAGGACAAGGAUGAUUGGGUAGCUGUUUUGAAAGUUAAACCUCGGGAUGUUAUUGAACUUCCUGAUGAGGCAAUAACAUCAACUCCAGAACCGACUCUUCCAUUCCAAGUUGAAGAAGUUGAAGUCCAUUUGAUAGAUAUGAAUUUCACCACUGAUGAGAAUAUAAUCUUACAUGAUCCAAAUGGGGAUGUAAUUGAAAUGGUUGAACCCAUUAAUGAUGGACUAUUGAUAGAGAAUCAAGAGUUCGAAGAAGAAUCUUCAGAAGACGAGUAUGAAACUGAGGAUGAAAAUGAGGAGGAUGAUGAGGAAGAGUUUGAAGAAGAAACAGAUGAUGACUACUGUGUUGAUAAUGCACUACUAUAUUUUUAUUGAAUUUUGUUUUUCUAGUAAUCUGUGUGGUAUGUUAUAAGUCAUGUAUCUAUUUUGUAGUAUGAUCUAUAGAGAAUCGAAUCGAAUACCACAUUUGUAGUAAUCUAAAUGGUAUAGUACACUUCUAGCUUACGUUGUGUUGUGAAUCGAAUACCACGUUUGUAGCAUGUAGUUAGUCACCAUGUAUCUCUCCGCAUUCUAUUGAAUUUUAUAAGCUUUCAUACUAGCUUAGCUUCUGUAACUUUGCUUCUGCUUGUUUGAAUUUUCAGUAACUUAGCUUCUGCUUGUUUGAAUUUUCAGUAACUUAGCUUAUGUAACUUAGCUUCUGUAACUUAGCUUCUGCUUGUUUGAAUUUUAUAAACUUUCAUACUAACUUAGCUUCUGCUUGCUU